CUACUUGAUUCCCAUUGACAUGCAAAAAACAAAAAAGGGGGACUUGCUGAUAGCAGGCCCACCCUGGCCCCUGGGGACUCAACCCCCAGUUCUUUGUUAUGCAUGUCAAUGUGGCCAGCUCACAAGGCCAUGACGCGGGCUUGCAGUUCCCUGUUUAUCUGCCUCGCACAUAUGUGUCUCGGGAACAUCUUGACCUGUUCGAGCCUCCUGAUAGGGGACGGUGAUGUGACGGUAACCCAAGGACGCAGUUAUUACUCUUCCCUCCUCACUUUUGAGUAAUUUCCCGCAGCUGUUAAAAAGAUAUAUAAAGGGAACAAAUCUGGCAAUAAAGCGCGCACACGCUCCCUCCUGGAUGAAGAACCUUGGUGUUCUGUGUAUUUUUAACCCCGCCGUCCCUCGCCG
rnacentral:lncRNA from 1 species